rnacentral:rRNA from 1 species
UGGGGAAUUUUGCGCAAUGGGCGAAAGCCUGACGCAGCAACGCCGCGUGGGUGAAGAAGGCUCUUGGGUCGUAAAGCCCUUUUCCGGGAGAAGAGAAUGACGGUACCCCGGGAAUAAGCACCGGCUAACUCCGUGCCAGCAGCCGCGGUAAUACGGAGGGUGCAAGCGUUGUUCGGAUUUACUGGGCGUAAAGGGCGUGUAGGCGGAUGCGCAAGCUGGGGGUGAAAGGCCAGGGCUCAACCCUGGACGGUCUCCCAGAACUGCGUAUCUAGGGAGAGUCAGAGGCAGGUAGAAUUCCUGGUGUAGCGGUGAAAUGCGUAGAGAUCAGGAGGAAUACCGGUGGCGAAGGCGGCCUGCUGGACGGCACCUGACGCUGAAAGACGAAAGCUGGGGGAGCAAACAGGAUUAGAUACCCUGGUAGUCCCAGCCCUAAACGAUGGUCACUAGCUGUGCCUCACGUUGGUGGGGCGUGGCGACGCUAACGCACUAAGUGACCCGCCUGGGGAGUACGGCCGCAAGGUUA